GACUUUUCUAAUAUUUUGUGUCUCCUCAUGUCAUGUAUUUGUUGACAUGAUAGUCGAUGCUUUUAUUUUGAAAGGGGCUUGGAACGGUAAGGUGACUGACGCAAAACGGUAGAAGUAGCGCGGCCGUUGGGGCAGAGAAAGUUGACAUGAACGAGUCGGAGUGAAGGGGAGAUAGUUGGGGUGUGAUUCAGGGUGACAAUCGGUUGGUUGGCGCUUGGUUGAUGAGGGAACAAGGUGAGUGUGUUGUCAUGUAUAUAUGUUUAUUUUUCCUGCGGAACGUGUAUUUCUCUAUUGGGUGUGACGGUUGUGUUUUGCCACUAGAUGGUGCUGAUUUACUAUGGUCAACCGUCAACAGUUGAAAUACGUUGCAUUUUAUUUCGUGACAGGGAUUUUGGAUUUUAAUAAAUACAUCUAUUGUAAAACAUAAUUUUAGCAUAGAAGGUAAAAGAUUUAUAUGUUAAGGUCAGAACAACACUGUUUGAGUACUAAUGUUAUUUUAUUUGUAUAUUUUGUAGCUCUUACGGUGAGUUCACAAUAAAAGGCUGUUCAAUAAAGGACUGUGAACCAUCAGUUUAAGAGACCAUCUUAUUCAACCGGGACGCUACAGUAAGAGCUUGACCCAAGCUGAGAAGAGCUUCACCCCGAGCUAAGAAGAAGUUCAAUCAUUCUCAGCACCAAGGUCCCAGUGAAAGCCACAUUAAGGUUCCAGCUUCACGGCUCCAAGUAAGGUCUUCUGGGAUUUGAUGGUCAACGGUAUAGCCCUGUCCUCAGCAUGGAAGCAUCUGAAAAGGAAACAGAGUACACAGAGGACCUACCUGUCAACGAGGAAGAGGAGCCUCCAUGCUCUGUUCGUCAAAAGAAGCCCACAGAAAAAAUGCGAGCAUAUCAGGAGGAGGAGGCCCACAAAAAGGAAAAACGUCUAAUCAAAGUUUAUAAUCAAUGGAAAAGGCAAGUACGUAUGGCACGAGAGCAAUUAAAAGGAGACAUAACAAACAGUCAAAUUGCUUCACUCAUGGACAUCUUAGAAAAAGAAAGAGAUGGCGUCAUAAACUUAUAUACAGAAAUAAGGGAAAUCAUUACUCCCUGUAGUGACACAAGGCGACUUAUAGAUGCAUGCGAAGCAGUCACCAAUGACAUUAUCAGAGUUGCAUAUGAAAGACUCUCAGGCAUAGAUGACUAUGACAGUGGGAAAGUGAAGGCUCGUCUACGUGAACUUCUUAAUCCAGACUAUGCUCAAUCCAUUUACAGUUCUUCUAUCACAUACUUAAGUAAACGCUCAGACGCCAGUAAUUCAAACUCUGCAAGGUCAGUAGUAGCUGUAAAGAGAGCAGAGGCUGCAGCUGAGUUGGCAGCCAAGGAGGCAGAGUAUGAAGUGUUAUUAGAAGAAGAAAAACAAAGAGAAAGGAUUCAACUUUUGGAGGAAAGACAGAGAAAGGAGCUAGAAUCUCAAAAACGUGAAUUAGAGAGAUUAAAAGCUGAAAAAGAGUUAAAGGCUGCUCGAGCUAGAUUAAUAACUUAUGACCAUGAGAUAAAGAGUGAGAGCAGUGUUCAUGUUGACAGUACCAGAGCAGCUCAGAAGGCUUCCAUAGUUUCUGCUCCCAUUCAAGUCCCUAAAAGCAACAUUGUGUCCACCUCACCUCCACAAGCAGAUGUUCUUUAUUUAGCCCAAGCAUUACAGGACAGUGUUACCAUGAACAGACUGCCAAUGCCCGAGCCUUCCACUUUCACAGGUGACCCAAUAGAGUUCAUCGAGUGGAAAGCUUCAUUUGCUGCACUCAUUGAUAAAAGGAACAUAUCACCUGCAGACAAGCUGUACUACUUAAAGAAAUAUGUAGGGGGUUCAGCUCGACAAACACUUGAUGGCAUCUUCUACAGAAAUGACAGUGAUGCUUACCAGGAUGCAUGGGAACGCCUCAACCAAAGGUAUGGACAUCCAUUUAUUGUACAAAAAGCGUACAGAGAAAGACUGGCAAAAUGGCCAAAGAUACAAACAAAUGACUCUGCAGGAUUUAGAGCAUUUGCUGACUUCAUUCAAACAUGUCAUGAAGCUAUGCCACACAUAGAAGGUUUAAGCAUUCUCAAUGAUUGUGAGGAGAACCAAAAACUUGUUCAAAAAUUACCUAACUGGGCAGCUGCAAGGUGGAAUCGUCAGGCCACUCAGUACAUGAAAGAAAAUGGGAAGUUUCCAAGUUUAAGGCACUUUACUGAGUUCAUGUCUUCUGAAGCUGAGAUUGUGUGCAAUCCCAUCACGUCAUUUCAGGCUCUCCACUCAACAGACGUCACCAAAACCACCAGUAAAGUUUACCAGAAAGAAAAAAGGCCCACCUCCAGUGUUCUCCAUACGCAAGUGGUAACAGAAACGGAAAGCACAAAACAAAGGUCAAAUAUUAAACCACCAUGCAUGCUCUGUCAAGACAACGGACACAAGCUUCACAGUUGUCCUCAGUUCAAAGGCAAAUCACUUGAGGAACGAAGAAAAUACAUAAAAGAUAAAAGACUUUGUUACGGUUGUCUCAAACCCGGACACAGCGCAAAGGACUGUCGUUACCGACUUGCAUGUGAAAUGUGCAAGAAAAAACACCCUACCUGUCUGCACGAUUUUAACUAUGACAGCAACAAAUCACAGACAAACCAAAUUCAAACGAAUACAGAACAGGCUGCAACAACCCUGUCUCUCAAUGCAGAAACCAAUGAACAAUGUGUAAGCACUUCUAUGAUUGUACCAGUAUGGGUUUCUUCAGAGCAACAACCAGAUGAAGAAAGGCUUGUUUAUGCACUCUUGGACACCCAAAGUGAUACAGUAUUCAUUAACCAAGAAGUAUCUAACAGUCUCAAAGCUAAGUCAACCCCAAUAAGAUUAAGACUCACCACAAUGCUUGGUAAAAAUGCAGUUGUGCCAAGCGAGCGUGUCUCAGGUCUCAAAGUGAGAGGCUACAACUCCUCAGAAAUAAUAGAACUCCCUCCUGCUUACACUAAAGACUGUAUACCAGUCAACCGCUCUCACAUUCCUUCCUGUGAAACGGCAAGGCAAUGGGAUCAUCUAAAGGUAAUAGUGAAUGAGAUUCCACCACAGCUAGAAUGUGAAGUUGGGCUUUUAAUUGGCUACAACUGUUCCAAGGCAUUAGCACCAAGGCAGGUCAUCUUAGGAGGAGAAGGUGAACCCUAUGCUGUCUGCACAGCAUUGGGCUGGAGUAUUGUAGGCCCCACAUCAUCUCACAAUGACUCUUUCAGCAUAUCUACUGUGUGCCACAGAGUUACAGUCAAAGAACUCCCUUUAAUGACUCCCACUGAUGCACUCAAGAUUCUCGAGUCUGACUUUAAGGAUGAUAGCAAGGAUAACAAAUCAGUGUCUCAAGAUGACAUUCUCUUUCUGAAUACACUUAAGGAAGGAAUUUAUAAAAACAAUGAAGGACAUUAUGAAAUGCCACUGCCUUUUAAGGAGAGACCUCUGUUACCAGACAAUAAGCAAAUGGCCACUGUGCGACUUCAAAGCCUCAAAAACAAACUGUCAAAGGACCAAAGGUACAAGGAGCAAUAUGUAAAGUUUAUGGGCGAAGUCAUAGAGAAGGGUGAUGCAGAGGAAGUUCAAAACGAAGCAAAAGAAGGAGAAAGGUGGUAUAUUCCCCACCACGGAAUAUAUCAUCCCCAAAAACCAGACAAACUCAGAGUAGUCUUUGACGCCUCAGCAAAAUAUAAAGGUAACAGUCUCAAUGAUCACUUGCUGUCAGGCCCAGAUUUGCUGAACAAUCUAAAUGGUGUUCUAAUCAGAUUCAGACGGCAUCAAGUUGCAUUAUUAUGUGACAUUGAAAAAAUGUUCCAUCAAUUUCAUGUGUAUGAAGCGGAUAGAGACUAUUUAAGGUUUUUGUGGUGGAAAAAUGGCAACCUGAAUACUGAGCCUCAAGAGUUUCGAAUGAAAGUCCAUCUUUUCGGUGCCACAUCCUCACCAGGAUGUGCCAAUUAUGGAUUAAAACAUCUUGCAAAAGAAAACGAGACACAGUUUCCCCUUACAUCUCAGUUCAUAAUGAAGGAUUUCUAUGUCGACGAUGGUGUAACAAGUACUGCAAGCGUCAAGGAAGCUAUUCAGCUCGCCCAGGAGGCUCAAACACUUUGUGCUUCAGGUGGCCUCAGACUACACAAGUUUGUAAGUAAUGACAAAACAGUGUUAGAAAGCAUUCCAUCAUCUGAACGUGCCUCUCCACUGCAAGCAUGUGACCUAGCAUUUAAUGACUCCAAACUUGAAAGAGCGCUAGGCAUUCACUGGCACAUUGACUCAGACACACUGAGGUUUCGCUUUCAAUCCAAUGACCAACCUGCUACAAGGCGUGGCAUUCUAUCUAUGGUUGCAUCUUUGUACGACCCAUUGGGAUUCAUCUCCCCCUUUGUACUCACAGGCAAAAGAGUGCUUCAAGAGACAUGCAAACAAGGCACAGGCUGGGAUGAUCCCCUUCCCAGUGAACUAAAGCCAGUAUGGGAUAACUGGAAAGAUGACUUGAAGAACUUGGAGAAAAUUACAAUGUCACGCUGUUAUGUUCCUAAAGACUUUGGCCAAAUAGUAAAAACCGAGCUUCAUCAUUUUUCUGAUGCAAGUUCAUAUGGUUAUGGUCAGUGUUCGUAUUUAAGAUAUGUAAACAAAGAUGAUAAGGUGUAUUGUGCUUUAGUUACAGCAAAGACCAGAGUUGCUCCUAUUAAGGUAACAACAAUACCAAGACUUGAACUAACAGCCGCUGUUGUUUCCAUUAUUGUAAGCAACAUGUUAAAGGAUGAGCUUGGGUUGACACAGAUUGAUGAGUAUUUCUGGACGGACUCUAAGGUAGUUUUAGGCUACAUUAAUAAUGAAGCGCGCCGUUUUCACACAUUUGUCUCCAAUCGAGUUCAAAAAAUAAGGCUCAACAGCACCCCUCAGCAGUGGAGAUACAUUUCCUCUGAGCAAAAUCCAGCAGAUAUUGCCUCCAGAGGUUCAAGCGCAGGUGAACUCAUCUCAUCAGACUGGUUCAAAGGGCCACAGUUUCUGUGGGACAAAGAAAUCCGUCCAGCUGCAAAGAUCAACAUGGACUUACCACUUGGAGAUCCAGAAGUUAAAAGGGCACAUACGCUGAACACUUUCAAAACAGAGAAGAAAGGUUUGGCAGACAAGUUAACAAAGUUUUCUUCUUGGUACAAAUCCACUCAAGCUGUUGCUCGACUGAUUCGCUGUGCCAAGAGAGAUAAAACAACAGGUCACAGCACAGCACAAGAAAGACGAAACGCUGAAUGUGUUAUUCUAAAAGAUGUUCAAGCAAAUGAAUAUCCAGAGGAGAUAAAGAUGCUUAAACAUGGAAAGGCACUUCCUCACAAAAGCAAGCUGUUUCAGAUGGACACUUUUCUUGAUAGUGAUGGACUCCUUAAGGUGGGAGGAAGGCUAAAGGAUGCUUCUUUCUCUUCCUCACUGAAACAUCCAGUAUUAGUUCCAAAGGGUCACCAUGUCACUCAGCUAUUAAUUGCUCAUUUCCACAGUAAGGUGCAACACCAAGGGAAAGGAAUGACAAUCAAUGAGAUCAGGUCAAAUGGAAUUUGGAUUCCUGGCAUCAACAGAGCUGUAACAAAAUUUAUACACCAAUGUGUAAAGUGUCGCAGACUCAGAAGAGGAACAGAGGAACAAAGAAUGUCUGAUCUACCAAAGGUGCGCUUAGAGCCAUUGCCACCAUUCACAUUUUGUGGAAUGGACUGUUUUGGUCCCUUUCUAACCAAACAAGCUCGAAAGGUGCACAAGCGUUAUGGACUUCUUUUCACUUGUCUUUGUUGCAGAGCAGUGCACAUAGAAAUGUUAGAUGAUAUGACUACAGACGCAUUUAUCAAUGCGCUCCGUUGUUUUAUAGCCAUAAGAGGAGCAGUCAGCGAGAUAAAGUGUGAUCAAGGAAGCAACUUUGUCGGAGCUAAAAAUGAGCUGCAGGAAGCUUUACAACAAGUGGACACUAACCGCAUUAUCACAUUUCUGGCUGAGAAGCAGUGUGACUUCAACAUGCACACGCCUCAUUCAAGCCAUACAGGAGGUGUGUGGGAAAGGCAAAUCAGGACGGUUCGAAACAUCCUGCGCUCGACGGCUUCACUUUCGUCAGGCAGGAUGGAUGACUCAUCUUUAAGGACAUUCUUUUAUGAGGCAAUGUCGAUCGUGAACAGCAGACCUCUUACAGUGGAUAACCUCAGUGAUCCAAACAGCCCAGAGCCAUUGACCCCAAAUCAUCUGCUCACCAUGAAAUCAAAGGCAGCCCUGCCCCCUCCAGGUAACUUCAUCAAGGAAGACAUUUAUGCACGGAAAAGAUGGCGGCAAGUGCAGUACCUAUCAGAGCAGUUUUGGUCACGUUGGAAAAGGGAGUAUCUAUCUAACAUCGCAACAAGGCAGAAAUGGCAUACUCCGAAGAGAAAUCUGAAGGUUGGAGAUGUUGUCAUGGAGAAGAUGGAUGAUUUACCUCGCAAUGAAUGGAGAUUAGCACGCGUAAUGGACGUAGUAACAGAUAAAGAUGGACUUGUAAGAAAAGUAAAGAUUCGUUUUGGAGAACGGAAGAUGGAGAAUGGGCAGAGUUCCCGUAAACUUUCUAUAGUGGAACGCCCAGUGCAGAAACUGAUUCUAUUAUUAGAAACUGUUUAACUAUAGUCUUAAGUUUAAGUUGCAUUCUUUCUUAUGUCUCGUGUUUUCAUAGAGGUUAAAGGUUACAGGUCAUUUUUUCUGAAGGAAAUCAUUAUCGCUCUAUUUGUUUAGUUAAGCUCUAAUGAUUUGGUGGGAGUGUAAAUGACUUUUCUAAUAUUUUGUGUCUCCUCAUGUCAUGUAUUUGUUGACAUGAUAGUCGAUGCUUUUAUUUUGAAAGGGGCUUGGAACGGUAAGGUGACUGACGCAAAACGGUAGAAGUAGCGCGGCCGUUGGGGCAGAGAAAGUUGACAUGAACGAGUCGGAGUGAAGGGGAGAUAGUUGGGGUGUGAUUCAGGGUGACAAUCGGUUGGUUGGCGCUUGGUUGAUGAGGGAACAAGCUCUUACGGUGAGUUCACAAUAAAAGGCUGUUCAAUAAAGGACUGUGAACCAUCAGUUUAAGAGACCAUCUUAUUCAACCGGGACGCUACAAUUACUAAUUUACAGAAAUCCACAAGAGGGCAAUGUUGUUCCACUCAAACCCUGUCGGGCAGAGAGGAAGACGUACUUUUCAUUGAAGGCGUCUGAGCCAUGUGGUCGCAGUCACAGUGGUGUUUUUU